UGAGUUUACCACGUUUUUCUGGUCUCUAUUAUUGACUUUAUGUACAUGUUUUGUGCACAGUUAUGGAACAAGUUCUGUCUUUUUUUAACAGGUUAGUUGUGGGUGAGUUGUGUGUUUCAGUCCAUCUGCACAUGCAACCUGGCCGAGCUCCAGCUAGUCUGUCGCCAUAACAACGCUUUGUUUACAAGGGAUUUCUGCUGGAGGAGCGAAAUUAAACUCAAACGAUUCUUUCUCAGAUAUUAUCCACCAGGUAUCAUCCUGGAAUAUGAGAAAGGAGGAGCUCUGAAGACUAAAUUCAUUGAUUUGUUGGAAUUGUCUCCAGUGACAGACCAAGGAGUUGAUAUCAGAGCUCAGGGAAUCGGAGCCACUGAUCACAGUAUCACGCAUCGAACAAGUCAAACUAUUGAUCCUCAGACUGCAGG